UAAAAUACAAUUGGUAUUUGUAGUACAAAUACAUGAGUUAACCAAACAUUAGAUGUUACACAUUUGUGAGAUAAAAACCCACAACCACCACAUCAUACCAGCGCAGACCACCAUCACCUCUGCUAGAUCUGCUAGAUCCGCCGAACGCCACCACCGCAACCCCACUAGAGCCACCGCAAACCGUCGUCACUCCACUCCUGUCACACCACCAGUCACCCCACCGGUUUCUGCCCCAUGCAACAACACCUAUCAGCCGGUCGACCGCCCCACUGCCGCUGUUGCUCGACUCCAACAAACUAGAAAACCGGGUUUACCGGAAUUUUUUCGGUUGAUCUGUUUCAGUUGGGUUCGAACCGUGAAGUGUUCUCGGGUUCGCGUGAUCGGGUUUUCAAGCUACGGGUUCGUGAACAUGUCAACUAGCGUGACGUUCGUUGCUUCCAUUGUGUGUUUUCUUCGGCAUUCGUAAAAAAGUACCCAUUCGUAGAAGGUGUGGAAAUCGAGGUGAAAUCAUGGAAAAAAUGCGCACGCGGGAAAAAGCAGUGAAAAGAAAAUGUAAAAUUAGGAUUUCUAGUUUUUGGGGCCAUGCGAAGAAUUGAUGAGGGGUUCAUGGUGACAUGCCAAGAUCCUGGCCCACAAGCCUAACUAGUUUGUUUUUGGCUCUAUACAAAGAACUUUGGUUAGACCUUAGCAAUGCGUGAAGAUCACUAGAAAUAUGAAAAAGCCCUAAUUCGAUUAUAUAAAUGGCUCUGGCCAUUCUUUUCUAGUGACAUCACUUCCAGCCAUCAAGUUUGAGGCUUUAGAGGAAUUCAAGAAUGGAGGAAGCAAUUGGAAGCUAGAAUUGAUGCUACGAGUCAAGAAUCGGGUCGGUUUUGCUUAUCAAUUUAUGUUUCUUGGUUCUCUUUGUUUUUUCCAGAUCUUUAGACUUCAUGUUUGUAAUUCAUAAGACUUGUUUUCUACUUUUAAAUGUGAUUGUUAGGUAAACUUCUAUAACUACCUAGGAUUUAGAUGAUGAAUUGUUGAAUAUUGGUUAGUUUCUCAGUUUAUGGAUUUUGUUGUUGGAUUAACAUUAAUGCAAAGAACCUUUUUACAA